rnacentral:rRNA from 1 species
UACGUAGGGUGCAAGCGUUGUCCGGAAUUAUUGGGCGUAAAGAGCUCGUAGGCGGCCUGUUGCGUCCGCUGUGAAAUCCCGGGGCUUAACCCCGGGCUUGCAGUGGAUACGGGCAGGCUGGAGGCAGGCAGGGGAGAACGGAAUUCCCGGUGUAGCGGUGAAAUGCGCAGAUAUCGGGAGGAACACCGGUGGCGAAGGCGGUUCUCUGGGCCUGUACUGACGCUGAGGAGCGAAAGCGUGGGGAGCGAACAGG